AAGACUAUACUUCACAGGAUCAUUUCUGUAGUAAGUCUUCACCAAUUAGGUUUCCAAUCUGGAUCUCAAUACAGCCACGAUGAUGAGUUGUAGCGCCUUGGCUGGAGCGUGAAAAGGGUCCAGAAGACGUAUCUCGGUACGACUUCUGGACCAUUGAGGAUCGUCAGCUUCGAGUAUUCUCGGGGUGAAGGUCAAGGUGCAAGCUGAGUGGU